UCUGGUGAGUAAAGUGGCGUACGGGUGAGUAACACGUGGAUAAUCUACCUCUUUGUGGGGGAUAACCUGGGGAAACCUGGGCUAAUACCGCAUAAGUUCGCAAGAAGAAAGCCGCAAGGCGCAGGGAGAGGAGUCCGCGGUCGAUUAGCUAGUUGGUAGGGUAAAAGCCUACCAAGGCAACGAUCGAUAGCCGGCCUGAGAGGGCACACGGCCACACUGGCACUGAAACACGGGCCAG
rnacentral:rRNA from 1 species